rnacentral:rRNA from 1 species
AUUGAACGCUGGCGGCAUGCCUUACACAUGCAAGUCGAACGGCAGCACGGGUGCUUGCACCUGGUGGCGAGUGGCGAACGGGUGAGUAAUACAUCGGAACGUACCUUAUCGUGGGGGAUAACGCAGCGAAAGCUGUGCUAAUACCGCAUACGCCCUGAGGGGGAAAGCGGGGGAUCGAAAGACCUCGCGCGAUUAGAGCGGCCGAUGCCUGAUUAGCUUGUUGGUGGGGUAAAAGCCCACCAAGGCGACGAUCAGUAGCUGGUCUGAGAGGACGACCAGCCACACUGGGACUGAGACACGGCCCAGACUCCUACGGGAGGCAGCAGUGGGGAAUUUUGGACAAUGGGGGCAACCCUGAUCCAGCAAUGCCGCGUGAGUGAAGAAGGCCUUCGGGUUGUAAAGCUCUUUUGUCAGGGAAGAAACACCGGCUCUAACACAGUCCGGGAAUGACGGUACCUGAAGAAUAAGCACCGGCCAACUACGUGCCAGCCGCCGCAGUAA